UCACGAACAAGUUCCUGAUGCUACCGCAUCACGAACAAGUUCCUGAUGCGGCAGAGCAUUAGAGAACAAGUUCUGUA
rnacentral:pre_miRNA from 1 species